GGCAGGCGCGGUGGCGUGCGCCUGUAGUCCCAGCUACUCGGGAGGCUGAGGCUGGAGGAUCGCUUGAGCCCAGGAGUUCUGGGCUGUAGUGUGCUAUGCCGAUCGGGUCUGCCCUAAGUUCGGCAUCAAUAUGGUGACUUCCCGGGAGCUGGGGGCCACCAGGUUGCCUAAGGAGGCGAUCGCCCGGGGACAAGACGAAGGAUAUGGACUUCCUGUCUGGGCUGGAAUUGGCCGAUCUGCUGGACCCCCAGCAACCGGACUGGCCCCUGGAGCCCGGGUUCAGCUU
rnacentral:SRP_RNA from 1 species